rnacentral:lncRNA from 1 species
GUCACUCCCAAGCCUGGAAGAGAAUGAGAAGGAGGCAGUAGAAUAUCAUUAUAAUCAUACUACUUGUCCCAGGGGAUCCAUGUAUUCUACUGAAGAGUGGGAGUAGUUCAAAAUGGAGAAAUGAGGAAACCAUGACAAAGAGUCUGGAUAAUCAUUAGAACUGAUUAAAGUCAGGCUGCCCUAGAUUGAAAAGUGUGUGCCUCUGCUCACAGAUGAAGAAAUAAGAAUGGAAGCAUAAUCAUUUGUCCGAGGUCACAGAGGGAGAUGAUUACACAGCUGGAAUGUAAGCCUCAGUACUUUACUGAAUCCUUGGCUUUGUCCAUGGGCCCAGCUACAGGCAUAAAGCUUUUCUCUUCCCCAGCAGUGACUUCGAGUACCAGCUUUCAAAUUUAUUUGACAUUGAAUCUAAGCUUUGUGACCAGUAUGUAGAAGGAGAAGAAGGGGAGGAAUUACUUAUCCUUUGGCAUACAUUAGCAUGCAAAUAAAUCCUUUCUCUGCAUUGUGGAAGGGUCUGAAAUUAUCACAUAUACAAUGUAUCUUUUAUCAAUGGCCUUGCAUACAAAUUUUACUUUGAAGAAUCCAGAUUUAGAGGUCUUCUCCAAACAUUUGCAUUGUUUCUUUUUCUUAGGAUCAGAACUUCUACCUAUUGUCAUUUUAAGAAAAAAGAUCAUGAAUUAAUUAAUUUAUUCAUUAUUUACACCCUUAUAUUCUUUCCCAAAUGUUUUAAUGUGGCUUACAUUGUAUACAUGUACACAAUAAAUAUUUAUAUUUAAAUAAGUUAUAAUCACAGAAUGAGAAUAUUAUUACAACCACUCAUACUCAUUCAAAUAGCUUGAUUAUAUCAUUGAGCUUUUCUUUUAGUUCUGGGUUUUUUGCUGCCUAGUUUAAAUCAGAAUGGCAUCUGAUUUAAUUAAUGGAAACUGAGUUUAUUUGAUUGAUGGAAACAAGAUGAUUUCAAGUGUGAUGCACUUUUUCUGUACUAACGUUUGAGAUACAUUUAUUACAACUGGCCACUUCAUAAUGGGCCAUAAGCAUUGUUUAAAGACAAUGGCUACUAUUGUUUGAAAGCUAAGGAAAGAUCCAAUGCUACCAGAUGUAUAUUGGCUGAGAAAUGAUCAGCUGAAACUACAGGCUGAAAUGCUGUAUAAGGUAGGCAAUAAAAUUAGAGAAUGUUUGCCGAACCCACUAAGCAGCAAAGAGGACCCAGCUUAGAAGUAAUGUAAAUUUUAAAGCUCUUUACCAGUGGCAAGCUAAUUUGAAAUAUUAGAAGUUAUUAUUUGUUUUAUGUUUCUCUCUCUAGCAGUAUAGUUUUUAACCGGCUUGUAAGAGCUCUUUUGUUAGUAAUGAUAUCAACCCUUCUUCUCUAAAUUAGUUGUUUGCUUAUUUACAAUUUCUGAAUUUUUCUCAAACAUGACAAUGAUUCUGAUGCAGUGGUUCUCAAUCAGGGGUAGUUUUGUACUCCAAGGGACAUUUUGGCAAUGUCUGGAGACAUUUUUGGUUGUCAGAACUAAGAGGACUGUGCUCUGGGCAUUUAGUGGUUAGAGGACAAGAGUGCUGCUAAACAUCCUAUAACGGACAGGGUGUCACCCACAACAAAGAAGUAUCCAACUCCAAAUGUCAAUAAUGCUGCAGCCGAAAAACCCUGGUCUAAGGAAUCAUCAUCCUGGUGUAUUUUUUUUUUCCAGUAGUUCGGAAGAAUGUGAAGAAUUCUCCCAGAAUUUUUCAAGAUAUUCCAAGUACCUAUUUAUUUUAUAAUCCUUGAAGACUUACUAAGUACCCAUAAACUGGUUGAGGAAAGCCAGUUUCAAAAUAAAUAUGAAAUCAUAUUUAUUUUUCUCUGAUUAAUCAAGGUCAUCAUGUUUUUAGAUGCCCUGCAAAGAAAACUGGUCAAAAUGUAAGACUGGCCCUCACAUUAAAUCAUCCAAACUAGUAACACUCCUCUAAAGGACUUCCCUCUUGGAACAUUCUUGACUUUCACAUAAUCAGUAGGCAACCUCCUUAGUCAAGGAGUCCUCUCUAACUGGCAAACCUAUCAUUUGGAAGAAUGAUCUUUUCUUCCUCCUUGCUGACUUUAGUUUCAGACAGCUAAUUACAAGUCCUUGUUCCUCCGUGACCUAGACCUGUGACUUAAGGCAAAUUACAAUACCUUUUUUUCAUGCCUAAUUUUAUUUAAAGAUUUGAAAACUGUAUUGCAAUAUAACUGAAAUAAACUAAAUUGCACAAAGUA